UCUACAGGAGAACCGAGAGCAAACUCCGAAAGCGAGAGCAUGGUCCCCUGUUCUUUUUCUUCGACUUGCCGGCGAUAGCGCCACCCGCGGCGGCCUCACUGAGGGAAGCUGGGGAAGCCCGCUGCGGGUGCUGGUGUUGGGGCCACAGCAGCCUCACGCUCCUCCUCCGCGCGUGUCGUCGUCGAAUCCACCGCCACGCCGACCCGCACCCGGCCGCUCGCCAACCCUCGCACCCACCGAUCCCCGCGUGGCCGCACCGAGGCGCCGACCUGGUGACCCACGCCUGCAAGCCACCAAAAAUUGCAGCGCGGAGGAAAGCCAAGGCCGCCGGUCCCUUCCCUUUGCCACCCGCCGCUGGAUCCUCCACCCGCAGCUUCCCCCAGUCUACCGCGGCGCUGGUCCGGAGGAGCAGGGAUCCACCCGUUCGGAGGUGGACUGGCUCACUCUCUUGUGCUGGUGGUUCUUCUUCCUCUUCGGCCCUUGAGAUCGGCAGCAGUUGACAGCAACGGACGAGCUGUGAGGUCCUGGAUCCUCGAGCCCCUGAGAGAUAGCACCCUGGAGCUCUUCGUGCUCGUCGCUGUGUGGAUUGCCAGCAAGAUCCAUGAUGUAAGGCCGCUUUCGGUGAAGAGCCUCAAGGCGCUGGGACAUUUGGUGCUCAUGGAGGAUUAGUAGUAUCUGCUCUGUUGAUUAUUAGUGAAUGUACAUGCGUAUGUGGAUUGCAGGACAACCUUCCAUUUCUCUCUGCAAUGCUUACUUGUAGCUGAUGAGUACCGCCGGCGUAGCUAGCAGCCGCGGUGGGCUCUAAUUUUUUUAGUUAGUACAUAUGGUUUUAAAUUACGAGUUGUCUGUACUUUUUCUAAGUUGAUAGAUGGCUCGAAAUAUUGAGCAGUAAAAUAUAAGGAUCUGUACAGACUGUUUGUUCUGAGCCGUCUGUAUAAAUAUUUUAUACAUA